GUCCAGUGUGUGGAUAGAGUCCAGUGUGUAGGGUAGAGUCCAGUGUGUUGGGUAGAGUCCAGUCCAUGUGUUGGGUAGAGUCCAGUCAGUGUGUGGGUAGAGUCCAGUCAGUGUGUGGGUAGAGUCCAGUCAGUGUGUGGGUAGAGUCCAGUGUGUGGAUAGAGUCCAGUGUGUGGGUAGAGUCCAGUCAGUGUGGGGGUGAAGUCCAGUGUGUGGAUAGAGUCCAGUGUGUGGGUAGAGUCCAGUGUGUGGAUAGAGUCCAGUGUGUGGGUAGAGUCCAGUGUGUGGGUAGAGUCCAGUCAGUGUGUGGGUAGAGUCCAGUCAGUGUGUGGGUAGAGUCCAGUCAGUGUGUGGGUAGAGUCCAGUCAGUGUGUGGGUAGAGUCCAGUCAGUGUGUGGGUAGAGUCCAGUCAGUGUGGGGGUAAAGUCCAGUGUGUGGGUAGAGUCCAGUGUGUGGAUAGAGUCCAGUGUGUGGGUAGAGUCCAGUGUGUGGGUAGAGUCCAGUGUGUGGGUAGAGUCCAGUGUGUGGGAAGAGUCCAGUGUGUGGAUAGAGUCCCGUGUGUGGGUAGAGUCCAGUGUGUGGGUAGAGUCCAUAGUGUGGAUAGAGUCCCGUGUGUGGGUAGAGUCCAGUGUGUGGGUAGAGUCCAGUGUGUGGAUAAAGUCCAGUGUGUGGGUAGAAUCCAGUGUGUUGAUAGAUUCCAGUGUGUAUAGAGUCCAGUGUGUGGAUAGAGACCAGUGUGUGGGUAGAUUCCAGUGUGUGGAUAGAGUCCAGUGUGUGGAUAGAGUCCAGUGUGUGGAUAGAGUCCAGUGUGUGGGUAGAGUCCAGUGUGUGGGUAGAGUCCAGUGUGUGGGUAGAAUCCAGUGUGUUGAUAGAGUCCAGUGCGUGGAUAGAGUCCAGUGUGUGGAUAGAGUCCAGUGUGUGGAUAGAGUCCAGUGUGUGGGUAGAGUCCAGUGUGUGGGUAGAGUCCAGUGUGUGGGUAGAGUCCAGUGUGUGGGUAGAGUCCAGUGUGUGGGUAGAGUCCAGUGUGUGGAUAGAGUCCAGUGUGUGGAUAGAGUCCCAUGUGUGGAUAGAGUCCCGUGUGUGGGUAGAGUCCAGUGUGUGGGUAGAGUCCAGUGUGUGGAUAGAGUCCAGUGUGUGGGUAGAGUCCAGUGUGUGGAUAGAGUCCAGUGUGUGGAUAGAGUCCAGUGUGUGGGUAGAGUCCAGUGUGUGGAUAGAGUCCAGUGUGUGGGUAGAGUCCAGUGUGUGGG
ensembl:lncRNA